GAUGAACGCUAGCUACAGGCUUAACACAUGCAAGUCGAGGGGAAACGACAUUGAAGCUUGCUUCGAUGGGCGUCGACCGGCGCACGGGUGAGUAACGCGUAUCCAACCUGCCUCUGACUAAGGGAUAACCCGGCGAAAGUCGGACUAAUACCUUAUGAGGUUUUCUGCAGACAUCUAAUGAAAACGAAAGAUUUAUCGGUCAGCGAUGGGGAUGCGUCUGAUUAGCUUGUUGGCGGGGUAACGGCCCACCAAGGCAACGAUCAGUAGGGGUUCUGAGAGGAAGGUCCCCCACAUUGGAACUGAGACACGGUCCAAACUCCUACGGGAGGCAGCAGUGAGGAAUAUUGGUCAAUGGGCGAGAGCCUGAACCAGCCAAGUAGCGUGCAGGAUGACGGCCCUAUGGGUUGUAAACUGCUUUUAUGUGGGGAUAAAGUGAGCUACGUGUAGUUUAUUGCAGGUACCACAUGAAUAAGGACCGGCUAAUUCCGUGCCAGCAGCCGCGGUAAUACGGAAGGUCCAGGCGUUAUCCGGAUUUAUUGGGUUUAAAGGGAGCGUAGGCCGUGGAUUAAGCGUGUUGUGAAAUGUAGACGCUCAACGUCUGAAUUGCAGCGCGAACUGGUUCACUUGAGUAUGCACAACGUAGGCGGAAUUCGUCGUGUAGCGGUGAAAUGCUUAGAUAUGACGAAGAACUCCGAUUGCGAAGGCAGCUUACGGGAGCACAACUGACGCUGAAGCUCGAAGGUGCGGGUAUCAAACAGG
rnacentral:rRNA from 1 species